UUGAAACUUUUUUAAAUAGAAACAAAAUGUUUUUUUUACUAACCAUGAACUGUUUUGUAAAAUUUGUUUUCACUGCAAAUUUUUUUUAAAAAAAAACUUUCAAACUUGGGGAAAAUUUCUAAAUUAUUUGGUUGAUAAUGAAAACUUAAUGUGUAAUUUGUGAAAAGUAUUAGGAGUUACAUCCGGUUAGUGAUAGUUAGAGAUUGUAUAUUUCUAAUAUCCGGUUAGCGAUUGUAUAUUUCUUUUGUCUUGGCACUUAUGAGCAUUUAGUUCUUCGUAAUCAAUCUCCUAAUGAAGCAAUUUUCCCUCUUGUUUUGUGCGUAGAUUCUUUCUUACUUGCUUUUAUGUUUUUGUUUCCUUUGAUCCUUUUGCUUGUUUUAACUUUCUUCUUGUAUUUGUUUCUUUUAUUGGCUAAGAGACAAAUCUGCUAGUGGAAAGGCGAAUGAUGUUAAUAAUGCAAAGAAGAUCAAAGCUUAUAUGGACAAAGUCUACACGGAGAGAAAUCUGCUAGUGGAAAAGCUAAUGAUGUUAAUAAUAUAAAGAGGAUCAAAGCUUAUAUGGACAAGGUUGAGCUAUAGAGCAUUCAAACAUAUGUGUUGAUAGUCUGCUUCCGAGACCAUCAACCAUCUUCUUUAACAAGAUGAAAGGUAACACUAUUACCGCUAUCUUGCAUAAGAAGCCACUGAUCACAGUCUUUGAAAGCCUAUGAGGUCUUCUAUCUAUACAUAUAGAGAGUCUUUAUUGAAUAUUCUCUGUUCUAUCUAAACUUAUCAGUUUUUUCCUUUACAGAUUGUCACUACUGCUGCUGACGCCUCGAACUUCUCUGUCCUCUACUACGAGAUUAUGAGCUCACCUUAAAGGUUUUUAGAGAUUGUUUAGUUACUAAAAAGUAAACCUUAGAAGACUCAAUAUAUGACCUUGCGGUGAAUAAAUAGUGAAAUGUAGAGUGUAGAGUUCCUCUGUUUCAUGUAUCAUUAUUAUUGUGUAUGUUGUACUCUGCUUUGACCGUUUGAGUGUUUUGCAUCAUCCUGAUGCAUGUCUCAGACACUGUUUUUCUUGUUUGUAAUUUGAAACUCAUUGCUGUCUUUUGUCCACCCAAUUGCUCUACUUUCAGACCAUUUGUCAUGGAUCCAAAUAUAAAGUGAUAAUCAA